UUGAGUGGAGUGUUUCUCUAUUUCUUCUGGAGCACUGCAGGUGGGCGUGGCUGGCUGUCCGAGCACCUGAGACCAAUCAACCCAUCCACCUGAGAGGGAUUUAAGGAGCUGCAGCCAUCUCUUCCACGCCUGAUGGUCCCCAUAUUCUGGUUUUAAUCGAAGCGCUCCUGGACGGAUCCCUUCUGCGUCUAACUCAGCGUGCUGAUCCUAUCUGCAGCUUAGUUUCUGUCAGCCUGCCCGCUCUCCACCGCUCCAGUGAAAACUCUCUGACGAUCGCCUCAGUCUGACUGCCCGCUCUUCACCCCCUCUGUGACAGCUCCGUGAUCAACGUCUCCUCCCUCAGCGCACCUCCAGCCACCUGCACAGCCUGUGGCAGUGUAUUCUAAGAGACUCUCAGUUAUUCUCCAUUCUGUGUUGGCUGAGUAAACAAUAAACUCUUCUCCCUUCA